CAGCCGCCGCGGCAAUACGUAGGGGGCGAGCGUUACCCGGAUUCACUGGGCGUAAAGGGGGUGUAGGCGGCUCGGUAAGUCGGGUGUGAAAUCCCACGGCUCAACCGUGGAAUUGCGCCCGAAACUGCCGAGCUUGGGGCCGGUAGAGGGAGACGGAACUGCCGGUGUAGGGGUGAAAUCCGUAGAUAUCGGCAGGAACGCCGGUGGGGAAGCCGGUCUCCUGGGCCGCGCCCGACGCUGAGGCCCGAAAGCUAGGGGAGCAAACCGGAUUAGAUACCCGGGUAGUCCUAGCCGUAAACGAUGCCCACUAGGUGUGGGGGAGUAUUUCCUCCGUGCUGUAGCUAACGCGUUAAGUGGGCCGCCUGGGGAGUACGCCCGCAAGGGUGAAACUUAAAGGAAUUGGCGGG
rnacentral:rRNA from 1 species